rnacentral:lncRNA from 1 species
CAAGGGGAAGGCACAAAAAGGACUAUCUCUGUCCUGACGCUUAGAUGUAUACAAAAAGCUACGCUCAGAUUCUUAGGUCUGUGAAAUGCUAUUUGAGUUGAAACACAAUACCCGCCUACAGGGCAUGCAUAGAAAGUGAUUUUAGGCGGCAAUAACUUAGGGUAAUUCUCUCUAUUUUAUAAACAUCAUUAACUCCUCUUAUGAGAUGAUGCAAAAAGAUUCAACGUUUCUUUGCACUUUCUCAAAAAAGUGAAUUCUGGGGCUAAGGCCGUAAGCGACCACAUUUAUUAGCAGGUGAUUCAAAAUUGCGCACCCAAAGGGAAACUUCAAGAAGUUUCAGGGAUACUAUACACAGACUUUUAACUUGAAAACUCUUCUCAAAACAGUGUUUUUGAAUUGAAAAUGUGUUUAAUCCUUUAAUAGAAUAUAAAGCUAGAAUUGAAAAGAAAGUUUACAUUCCAAUAUAUGAUUUGUAUAAAAUAUGUUGAAAGAUAUCAAUUGUCUAUAUUUAAACUACAUUUGAAAAAUUCUAAGUACUCCAGAAUUUUAAAUUAUUCUUAAAACAGAGAAAAAAAAAAUUCAAACUUCUACUUCUCAAAUUAGUUAAAUGAAGCUUGUCGACGGUUGGGAGUUGAGCCUUAUGACAGUUGGCUAAUUGCAGUUGGUACAUUAACUAUGUUUUAACCAGAGCUGUUUGGGAUCUAAGUAGAUUAAAAAAAUAAAGCAAGCCUGGGCAUUUCCAACGAAAAACGCUUAAAAUAACCACAAAGUUAAUAUUGGUUUUACUUGCUAUAUGUAUUACAAUACAAAAUGGAUUCCUGUAUCUUUA